rnacentral:rRNA from 1 species
CAGAAAGACCCUAUGAAGCUUUACUGUAUCUUGGAAUUGGGUUUGGGCUUUGCUUGCGCAGGAUAGGUGGGAGGCUUUGAAGAUAUUCUUGCGGGAAUGUUGGAGCCAAUGGUGAGAUACCACUCUAGUAAGGCUAAAAUUCUAACUUCGAACCGUUAUCCGGUCGAGGAACAGUUUCAGGUGGGCAGUUUGACUGGGGCGGUCGCCUCCCAAAAGGUAACGGAGGCGUGCAAAGGUUCCCUCAGGCUGGUCGGACAUCAGUCGUAGAGUGUAAAGGCAUAAGGGAGCUUGACUGCGAGACCUACAAGUCGAGCAGAGACGAAAGUCGGCCUUAGUGAUCCGACGGUUCCGAGUGGAAGGGCCGUCGCUCAACGGAUAAAAGUUACUCUAGGGAUAACAGGCUGA